rnacentral:rRNA from 1 species
CCUACGGGUGGCAGCAGUGGGGAAUAUUGGACAAUGGGCGAAAGCCUGAUCCAGCCAUGCCGCGUGUGUGAAGAAGGCCUUCGGGUUGUAAAGCACUUUCAGUGGGGAAGAAAGCCUUGGGGCUAAUACCCUCGAGGAAGGACAUCACCCACAGAAGAAGCACCGGCUAACUCCGUGCCAGCAGCCGCGGUAAUACGGAGGGUGCGAGCGUUAAUCGGAAUUACUGGGCGUAAAGCGCGCGUAGGCGGUCUGAUAAGCCGGUUGUGAAAGCCCCGGGCUCAACCUGGGAACGGCAUCCGGAACUGUCAGGGUAGAGUGCAGGAGAGGAAGGUAGAAUUCCCGGUGUAGCGGUGAAAUGCGUAGAGAUCGGGAGGAAUACCAGUGGCGAAGGCGGCCUUCUGGACUGACACUGACGCUGAGGUGCGAAAGCGUGGGUAGCAAACAGGAUUAGAACCCCAGUAGUC